GAUGAACGCUGGCGGCGUGCCUAAUACAUGCAAGUCGAGCGAACAGACGAGGAGCUUGCUCCUCUGACGUUAGCGGCGGACGGGUGAGUAACACGUGGAUAACCUACCUAUAAGACUGGGAUAACUUCGGGAAACCGGAGCUAAUACCGGAUAAUAUAUUGAACCGUAUGGUUCAAUAGUGAAAGACGGUAUUGCUGUCACUUAUAGAUGGAUCCCCGCCGCAUUAGCUAGUUGGUAAGGUAACGGCUUACCAAGGCAACGAUGCGUAGCCGACCUGAGAGGGUGAUCGGCCACACUGGAACUGGAACACGGUCCAAAUUCCUACGGGAGGCGGCGGAAGGGAAUCUUCCGCAUUGGGCGAAAGCCUGACGGAGCAACGCCGGGUGAGUGAUGAAGUUCUUCGGUUCUUAAAACUCGGUUAUUAGGGAAGAACAAAUGUGUAAGUAACUAUGCACGUCUUGACGGUACCUAAUCAGAAAGCCACGGCUAACUACGUG
rnacentral:rRNA from 1 species